AUCCAUACAAAGUGUACAUUAAAAUGCUUCGCAGUGCAGCAAUUUGGAAGCCGCUUGCUCAAAAGAUCAAAGGAUGGGAUCCUAUAUGGGGCACGGUCUUCUUCUCAUGCUUAUUCACAUCCCCCUGGCUGUUAGGAAGAGGCAGGUCACGGUGCACUAUUAUCAGCUGGCGUCCUUUAUAUCAGAUUACAACUAUUCAGUUUCUGGCCAACAGGGCAUUAACACUGCUGUUAGUGGGGGCCACGCACAUGAGCUGACAAAUGCUCCUCAAGUCUGUCGUCUGAAUUCAGGCUGGAUGGAAGCUACACGAGGAGUUUCAAUGGUUUUGUACUCGGUGGUCAGGCACAGGACGAUGUGCAGUGUUUGCAUUGAUCCCUACACUCCCAGAGCACGUGCAAGAUGUUAG
rnacentral:lncRNA from 1 species